UAGGGAAUCUUCCGCAAUGGGCGAAAGCCGGACGGAGCAACGCCGCGUGAGUGAUGAAGGUCUUCGGAUCGUAAAACUCUGUUAUUAGGGAAGAACAAAUGUGUAAGUAACUAUGCACGUCUUGACGGUACCUAAUCAGAAAGCCACGGCUAACUACGUGCCAGCAGCCGCGGUAAUACGUAGGUGGCAAGCGUUAUCCGGAAUUAUUGGGCGUAAAGCGCGCGUAGGCGGUUUUUUAAGUCUGAUGUGAAAGCCCACGGCUCAACCGUGGAGUGUCAUUUGGAACUGGAAAACUUGGAUGCAGAAGAGGAAAGUGGAAUUCCAUGUGUAGCGGUGGAAUGCGCAGAGAUAUGGAGGAACACCAGUGGCGAAGGCGACUUUCUGGUCUGUAACUGACGCUGAUGUGCGAAAGCGUGGGGAUCAAACAGG
rnacentral:rRNA from 1 species